CUUCUCCAAGAUAUGAAGGAACUAAAUUUAAAUGCAGUAAGUUCCUUAAAUUUGAACAACUUUUCCCUAGCUGCCCUUCUAUUCCAGGUUCUAUUCUGAAGUUACUGACUUCAUUUUCUCUUGAGCAGGUUCCCAGCCUUGUAACUGUGAAUGCUACGAUGGAGAGAUGCAUGCACAGCCACCUGAAAACCUUCAUUAGCACCUUGACAGGUCUUGACACUUACAGCAAAUUCAUUGCCACAAAAUUGACCACAAUUGACACCUACAGGAACAUCCUCCCCAAAGAUCUGGAUAAGGAAUGUCAGACUGCACAAGUAACAUGGC
ensembl:lncRNA